AGGCUGGUAGUCAUCAGUCCUCUUAUGCCUGGUGCUCUGUCCCAAGGUAUGGCAUCACAGUGACCCUGGAUUCCACUGGUGAAGGCCAUCGGAGUCCAUGGAAGAUGGGGACAGGAUGGGAAAGAACGGGUUGGCAAGUGGCUCUCCAUGGAAAGAAAGGUCUUCUCUACCUGACUACAAGCCUCCUGAAGGUACUUUCUUGCACCCAGCACCACGCCCAAGACAUGUCAGGCACUCAACAAUGGUCUGUUGAGAGAGUGAAGAGCUUUAUGAGGAACUACAUACAUAUCCUGAUGUCGAUGAGGCCACUGCACACAAGCACAUGAAGACAUCCCCACAACUGGCAGUGGGCACAACAAGCUAAUACUUGGCUCUGCUUUUAUUUAUUGAGCAGCUAUUUAUGAAGCAUCUACCAUAUAUCAGGCGUGGUGCUAGGCAGCACACAUAUGGUACUGGGAAGAAAAAAAAAAGAAAGAUCUCUACAUUAUUCUGAGGGGGGAGGUGGACAAAUCAAUAAAACUAUGCAGUAAGGAAGUCAGAAAAAAACAGGUUCCAAGGACAAAGGCAAUAGGACAGGGGUUGCCACUGUUAAUAAGGUGGUUGGGGAAUGCUCACUGGAGCCACAAUGGAAUCUUUUCAGAAGGAAACAGAGGGCAGAGAUAAACCUUAUGAGAAAGUGUGACAAAUGCAAAGGCCCAAGACACCACUUGUGCGUGUGUGUGUGUGUGUUUGCUACAUUAAUGCAGAAGACAGGGAAGGAAACGUUAGAAGACAAUGGAAUAUUCUUCAGCCAUCAAGAGGAAUGCAGUCCUAAUUCAUGCUAAAACAUGGAUGACCCUUGAAAACACUCUUCUAAGUGGAAGAAGCCAGACUCAAAGGAUACAGAUUCUAGGAUUCUACUCACAUGAAGUGUCUAGGAGAGGUGAAUCCACAUAGACAGAAGGUUUGUGAUGAGCUGUGUGCUCUCUGGGGGUGACAAGACCACAGCAGAACCAUGGCUCAGGAUAUGGAAGUGGAAGAAGCACUGGCUGAAGCUUUGAAACGAUCUUUCUCAUGAGGAGGACUGGUAAACAGACCACCCAGUGGUGGAAGCUAAGAGAAGGGUCAAGAGCAGUCUCAAUAGGCUAGCCCGAGUCCCGGUCUGCUGUGAUAACCCUGGUUGGUCUGAUGUCACGAUGCGAUUGCUCACCAGUGUCCUCAUUCAUCAUCUGAAGUUCCUGGUCUUGAUAUUAAAAUCCUAUGGUCACCAAAAUACAAAUACUCUGUGAUCCCACUUAGAUGAAGUUCCCAGAGUGGUCAAACUCAUUGAAAUGCAAAGUAGAAGAGGGGGUCCCAGGUGUUGGAGGGUGGGUUGUUGUCAAAGGGGACAGACUUUCAGUCUUGCACGGCAUGGAAGUUCUGGAGAUUGGUU